rnacentral:rRNA from 1 species
UACGUAGGGACCAAGCGUUGUCCGGAUUUAUUGGGCGUAAAGAGCUCGUAGGCGGCUUGUCGCGUCGAAUGUGAAAUCCUGCGGCUCAACUGCAGGCUUGCAUUCGAUACGGGCAGGCUCGAGUUCGGUAGGGGAGACUGGAAUUCCUGGUGUAGCGGUGAAAUGCGCAGAUAUCAGGAGGAACACCGGUGGCGAAGGCGGGUCUCUGGGCCGAUACUGACGCUGAGGAGCGAAAGCGUGGGGAGCGAACAGG